AAAUCCUAAUUUUUUUGGUCACAUUUUGGUCAGAGAACAUGUUCUAUAUGAUGUAGAUGUUUUUUGAGACUUUUUUGGUGGCUUAGUCCAUUAUGAAUUUUGUAAAUUCAUAAUUCUAUGUGUGAUUGAAAAAAAUGUGACUUUUCUAACUACUGUUUGUUCUAUAUGUGGCCAUUGAAUCAAUUAUUGAGAAACAUAAGUUAAAAUUCCUUACUAAAAUUGUGGAUUUCUAGGUUCUUUCCAGUAAAUCUACCCUUUGUUGUUGUUGUUUUGAGGCUAUGUUGCUAGGUGCAUAAAGGUUCAAAAUUGUUCUAUCUUCCUGGUGAAUUGUCCUUUUCGUUAUAAAGCAAUAACCCUUUUUAUCCCUAAUAAUUCCUCCCUUUUACCACUUAAAAUGACUUUUUUUGGUAGUUAUAUGUUUAUAUUAAGUUUUGCUGUUGUGAUUAUUAGUAUUUUUCAGAUAUUUCCCCCACUUUUUUACUUUUAAUUUUUGUUGUUCUUGUUUUGUUUUGUUUUUAGAGAUGGGGUCUUGCUUUGUUACACAGGCUAGAGUGCAAUGAUCAUGACCAUAGCUCACUACAGCCUCAAACUCUUGGGCUCUAGCAAUCAUCUCUCCUCAGCCUCCCAAACAGCUGGGACUACAGGCAUGCACCGAAGCUUUAUUUUCAAAAUAUAAUUUGUGCUGAUGCUGGUGAUUCUGAUGUUCGUGUGUACAUUGUCCCUGACAUCCAUGCCACAAGCGCUGCAUGGCUAACAGCAAUUUUGAUAUGCCAUCAACUGAAAUAUACAUUCCGAUUUCAGAAAUGUUAAAAUGUGAACAAAUGUACACCUCAGAAUUGAUGAAAUGUUGUGAUACUUUACAUAUAAAAAUAUAAAAGGUAUUUUUAUGCUUUCUUCUGCUCUCCCUUGGACAGACCUUUUUUCUGUACUAUUUCUCUUUCCUUUCCUGCCUUUCAGUAGAUUGAUCAGUUUUCUUUAGUCUCCUUUACUGGACCGGAAGUUACUCAUUUUAUUUUUAUUCUUUUUUCAGUGACCUUUAAAUUUUUAACAUCCAUAUUUGACUUGGCAAGUCUAAUCAAUAUCUCUAUUGGCCUCUUUAAUAAUUCACCAAAUUGAUUGCUUUGAGUCUACUCCCUUCUCAUCUUAUAUAUUUUUGUUUCCUGAUAUCAUAGUUUCAACUUGUUUUUAAUCAUCCAAGCUGGUCAUCAUUAUUAUUAUUGUUCUGAUUUUUUUAUGAUCAGUACUUACUCAGAUUUACCCAUAUGUCUAAUAAUGUUCUUUCUUAAGUUUACUUUGUAUAUUUCACUUCAUUCUUCUGAGUUCACUUUCCUUCUUCCUGAGAUUCAUCUUUUAGCCUGAAAAUGUCUGUACGAUGCCCUCACUCUUAAAUGAUAGCUUCAAUGGAUAUAGAAUUCUUGCAGGAGGGUAGCCGGGGGAGGCUACAUGGUUUCUGAUACUAGGUGUGUAGCAUAGAUCAGGUUCUAAACCUUCCCAUGUCCUUGGUUUUAAAAUAAGCUCAUUAUUGUUGUCCCCUGAUCAGGUUAGGAGGCAGGGAUUUUCUCAUUCUCUGUUCACUGAGAUCGAAGCCUUUCCAUGGUUCUGCUUAAUUCCACAUGUCAGUCCCACUUGACAAGUGUAAUGGGCCCACUUCCUUGCCUUCCAUCACUGUUCAACCCUCUGCCUUUAGGCCCCUCUUUCUUGCUUGCUGUUGGGGAUUUCUCUUUCCAUCUUCUGAGUUCAGGUUUGCAUUAAAUUUUUAUCUUGUAUUUUUAGGUGUUUUGGGGCAGGAAUGUUUCUGCAUUAUCAGCCCAGUCUGUCUCUAUGGGACCCUCUAAGAACACUGCAUUUUUUUUUCUUUUCUCAAUUUAUAUUUAAAACAGUUAAGACUACCUUAAGAAGUGAUUUUUUUUUCUUUUUUUGAGACAGAGUCUCACUCUGUCACCCAGGCUGGAGUGCAGUGUCACGAUUUCAGCUCACUGCAACCUCUGCCUUCCGGAUUCAAGUAGCUCUCCUGGCUCAGCCUCCCCAGUAGUUGGGAUUACUGGUGUGCACUACUACGCCUGGCUAAUUUUUGUAUUUUUAGUAGAGACGAGGUUUCACCAUGUUGGCCAGGCUGGUCUUGAAGUCCUGAUCUCAGGUGAUCUACCUGCUUUGGCCUCCCAAAGUGCUGGGAUUACAGGCAUGAGCCACAGCACCUGGCCAAAAAGUGAAAUUUGUGUGUUUAUUUUUUUCCAUCUUCUGGUUUCAUGAAACCUUGGCUUUGUGCAAAAUAUGGUUUUUAAGCCACUGUUUUAUUGUAUGGCUUUGAUAUCCAUAGUUAAGUGACUGCUCAGCAUGAGACCUUAGACCUAGAGUGAAUGGAGCAAACUCUAGAUGGCAGUCUCCUGGUGAGGUUUGCCAGCCUUUGGCGGAUCCAUACCUGAGGUAUCAGAUGUUACCUGCAUGGUAGGCACUGGGUGGUCACCCCCUAGGGUAGCUGAUAUGCCUGCCAAUGCACUUCUCCAAGCUGCUCAUUUGUGGAUUCAGAAGGCUAGAGAAGAAAAGGUGGUGGGGAAGAGCAGAUAGUCAGUCAUUCUGUAGAAAGAAGAGAGAACAUCUUUUUGCAUGCUUAUUGGCUGGUUGCAUUUCUUUUUCUUUUCACAUUAGAGGGAAUUACCUGAUAAUUUUUUUAUACUGUGAUAUUGAGGAAAUAACUCUCACAGCCUGCUGGUAUGAGUAUAAAAUGGUAUAGCCAAUUUGACUCUAUCUAUCUUAAUCAGUUGGCUUCUGUUGUGUAAAAGGCCACUCCAAAACCUAGUAGUUUAGAGACAAUAAAUUCUUACUAUUUCCUACACUUUUGGGAGUUGGCUGGGCAGUUCUUCUGGUCUUUGCUAGCGUAACUGAAGCUAGGUCAUAUAGGAUGGCUUCAUUCACUUGUCUGGGAGCAUUGGCAGGCCGGUUGGUUUGGGUGGGUCUCAGCUGGGACACCUUGGCUCUGCUCCAUGUGGGUUCUCACCAUCCAGUAGGCCAGCCCAGGCUUCUGCACACAGAAGCCAUUGUCAUCUCUCAUAUUCUGUUUUUUUUGUUUGUUUUAUUUUGUUUUUUAAUGUCUGUGUUAGAGGGUCUCUUGCAGAUGUGACAUUGUAUAUUAGAUAUAUACAAGAAUGUUUAUUUCAGUGUUUUUGUUUGUUCAUUUGUUUUACAAUACAAGAAAAUUGGAAACUAUGUGAUAUGGUUUGGCUCUGUGUCCCCAUCCAAAUGUCAUCUCAAAUUGUAAUCCCCACAUGUCGGGAGAGUGGGCUGGUGGGAGGUGAUUGGAUCAUGGGGGAUUUCCCUCAUGGUGUUCUCGUGAUAGUGAGCGAGUUCUCAGAGGGUCUGAUGGUUUAAAAGUGAUGAAAGUGAUAAAAGGGUCUGAUGGUUUAAAAGCUGUUCUUAUGACAGUGAGUGAGUUCUCACAGGGUCUGAUGGUGUGGCAGUUCCCCUGUCGCUCUCUCUGUCUCUCCUGCUGCCUUGUGAAGACGUGCUUGCUUCCCCUUUCUGCCAUGAUUGUAAGUUUCCUGAAGCCUCACAGUCAUGCUUCCUGUAAAGCCUAUGGAACUGUGAGCCAAUUAAACCUCUUUUCUUCGUAAA